rnacentral:ncRNA from 1 species
UUGUGAAAAAGGCAAACUCAUCGUAAGAUGGGGACGCAAAACUAAAGGGCCUCAGCUCUCCAAGGAGAGAAGGGCAGCCAGCUCCCACA